GUUUCUGUCAUCUAUAAAAAGCUUAGCGCUGCAUUCAGAAGUUGUUAUAUUCAACGAAUCACAUUAGCAGCUGCCUAACGAGACAGUCAAACAGGAAUAUGAAAUCCUAUAUCCUUCUCGCUUUAUUCGCCGCCUGUGUUUUGGUCAGUUUUGCCCAAGAUAAUACACCUGAUGAGGAAAACCAGGAAUCGCAGAUGGAUUCAGAAUCAAAUCUUUCUGAACAACCUUUAUCGGGCAAGGAAUUCGCCGCAUUGUCAGAUGCUAACCAAGAAGCGCAUGUCUCAGAACAAUUAGAUCCAGGCAAGGAUAUCAACUCAUUUAGGUGGCAUCGUAUUCGUUAUUUUCAUCGUCGUCAUCGUCAUCGUCAUCAUCACCAUCAUCAUCAUCAUUAUCAUCAUCAUUAUCAUCAUCAUUAUCAUCAUCAUCAUCAUCAUCAUCAUCAUCAUCGUUGUUGAAGUCGUCGAAGUCGUUCCUCACCGUCAUAAUGUCGUUUGCGAAAAAAAACAAUAGGUUGCAAUUCAAACAUUGGACACUAAACCCCCUUUUUACAUGUUUAGAGGAGGCAUGAAUAAAAAUUUCAAGAAGCAUCU